CUGUCACCCAAACCACGAUCAAGCCCUUUUUAUUUCGAGAAAUCGAGAGAAAAAGAAGCCCCACCUCUAAAGCUCAACUGACGGGAAGUGGGGGUGUGCAGCUGAGAGUUCGAGAGCUACCGGACCCCAAAGACAGGGCUGGGCCCUGGCACCUACCUGCGCGCCCCGACCCAACACUUAGGUAACACGGAAAACCUGAGGACCUGGUGGCGUCCAGGAGUGAGGAAGCGGAGAAAGGAUGGGUGUGCAUUGACAGUGGAGAAGGCGGGUUGUGUAAUGUGGGGAAAGUGAAACAAGCAGGCAAAAAAGUGAAGCAAUAGCAGGCGCCGAGGUCGGCUGUAAAACAAACAAACAAAAACAAACUCAGAAGGAGGAGGGGAGAGGAGGCAUCGGUAUUGGCGGAUCUCGGGAGAGAAGGAUCACUCUCCGAAUGGGAGGCAGUCCACUCUAGAAAGUGAGGAUAUGCUCUGGGGGAGGUUGUUUGGGAGAGACUGUGGAUGGUCUCGGGUGGAAAUGGGUGAAAGCAUCAUGGCGGCGGGGGGAACUGUGGAAGUGUCUCUUCACUGGGUAAGUGCGGGAGGUGGAGGUCUACAGGUCAGUCCAUCUACACCCAGUAACUAGGGGGAGGGCGCUACCUUGGAGGUGGGAGUAUCUGCACUGGGUGAUGUAGGUGGGAGGGAGAGGUAUGCAAUGGAAGAGAGGAGGUCUACACAAGCGGAAUUGAGGGAAGUAGAGAUAUCUACACAUCAGAAGCUGGGGGGAAGAGGGGAGGGGUGUAAAAUGCGCUUGGGAGGGAGUCCUCGCUGAAUUUAGAGAGCCUCCGUGGAGGAUGGGAGGUCACCUGUACCCCAGGAAAAUAUAGGUUAGAGACCUGCGACGCGGCCCUUGAGACGGAGGUCUGGGUGUGGAACUCUUCGACUGGGCAGGCCUGGGAGGCCGCCUGUGCCCAGGAAGUAUUCUCUGCGCGCAGGCCAGACCAUGGGAACCCAAAAGCCUCGGAUACUGCCCUGGCUGAUAUCUCAGCUGGACCGAGGGGAGUUGGAGGGCGUGGCCUGGCUGGGCGAGAGCCGCACGCGUUUCCGCAUCCCUUGGAAGCACGGCUUGCGGCAGGACGCCCAGCAGGAGGAUUUCGGCAUCUUCCAGGCCUGGGCUGAAGCCAGUGGUGCCUAUACUCCUGGGAAGGAUAAGCCCGACCUGCCCACAUGGAAGAGGAAUUUCCGGUCUGCCCUGAACCGGAAGGAAGUGUUGCGUUUAGCGGAGGACCACAGCAAGGACUCCCAAGACCCGCACAAGAUCUAUGAGUUUGUGAACUCAGGGGUCAGGGACAUCCCUGAGACAGAUACCGCUCAAGACAAUGGCAGACACAGUACCUCUGAUACCCAGGAAGACAUUGUGCAGAAGUUACUGAGUGACAUGGACUUGAGCCCAGAAGGAGGGCCCUCGAAUCUGACUAUGACCUCUGAGAACCCCCCUCAGCUCUUACUGAGCCCCGAAUCAGACAUCCCUGCUCUUUGCCCAAACUCGGGACUCUCUGAAAACCCCCUGAAGCAGCUGUUGGCGAACGAGGAAGAUUGGGAGUUCGAGGUGACUGCCUUCUACCGGGGCUGUCAAGUCUUCCAGCAGACUGUCUUCUGCCCUGGGGGCCUGCGGCUGGUGGGAUCAGAAGCAGGGGACAGGAUGCUGCCCGGGCAGCCAAUACGACUGCCGGACCCCGCAGCGUCCCUAGCAGACAAGAGCGUGACAGACUACGUGCAGUGUGUGCUGAGCUGCCUGGGCGGGGGGCUGGCCCUGUGGCGGGCCGGGCAGUGGCUCUGCGCCCAGAGGCUGGGGCACUGCCACGUGUACUGGGCCAUAGGCGAGGAACUCCUCCCCAGCUGUGGCCACAAGCCUGACGGCGAGGUCCCGAAGGACAGGGAAGGAGGUGUGUUCAACCUGGGGCCCUUCAUAACAGGCCCCAGUCAUGGUAGCAGAGGUAUGCCGGGCUUUUGAUCAGGAGAGAAGGUAAGGAUGUUAUGAAGUUUUGGGGGAGAGGGGAGGGGCAGGGAGAAGGUCUUCUUCCCAUCCCUGACUCUCUGUUCCUUGGCCCCCAGAUCUGAUCACCUUCACUGAAGGAAGCAGACGUUCACCACUCUAUACCCUCUGGUUCUGUGUGGGGCAGUCAUGGCCCCAGGACCAGCCAUGGAUCAAGAGGCUUGUGAUGGUCAAGGUUGUCCCCAUGUGCCUCAGGGUUCUUGUAAACAUAGCGCGGCAAGGGGGUGCCUCCUCCCUGGAGAACACUGUCGACCUGCACAUUUCCAACAGCCAACCCCUCUCUCUCACCUCAGACCAGUACAUGGCCUAUCUCCAGGACCUGGCCGAGGACAUGGAUUUCUAGGUUGCUGGGGAGGCCUGAGCCCAAGCCCUUCACCUCGACCAAUAAACUGGUUCUGGCCAUGGUCA